rnacentral:tRNA from 1 species
GGCUGAUUUGCUCAGUCAGUUGAGCGUGGCGCUAGCAAAGCCAAGGUUGUGGGUUCAACUCCUGUUCGGUCC